rnacentral:lncRNA from 1 species
UAACCCACGGAGCCACCCAGGUGCCCCGAAAGUUACCUGUUCUGAUCACACUCUUCUUCUUUCUCUUUCUUGUAGCUGUGCAGUCCCUGCACACCCUAAAUGACCAGAUAUCCCAUUUUAUCGUCACCAAGUCGAAGGCCCUGGAGGAAGACAAGGACCCCUUCCUACCCGCUGAGAAGGAGACUCUGAAGAGUUCCAUGAUACUGAUGAGGCAUCUCCUAAUGGACGCACAGCUGGAACCGUCUCUUCCUGUUGGGAAGUCCUCCACCCUGCUGCCCUGUCCCAGGGCUUUCUCCUGCCCACACAGCGGCCUCUCUCCUUCCUCCCCUCCAGACUGCUGGGGGAGAGCUCCUCAGCAUACAAAGGAGGAUUCAGACUUCCUUAUCAGUGCGCUUUCUCUCAUUUCCCGGAGUCCUCCCUGACCAGACAUUCGUGCUGCAGAUGUGUGAGUUCCUACAGCCCUUAUCAAUCACCAAACACUCAACAAAUAUUUAAUGAGUGGUUUCUAUGAGCAAGGGGACUGGAGAAGCACGUAUUUUUGGUUUAGGCUAUUUGGUUUUUGGAGUUUAUUAAAUGUCUUAACUGGAAAGUCACCCAGAAAAAAAUUCUCUACCUAAAAGACACAAAAUCUCUUCUCCUAUCUGAUCUGCCUUUAUGCAU